rnacentral:rRNA from 1 species
CUACGGGGGGCUGCAGUGGGGAAUAUUGCACAAUGGGCGAAAGCCUGAUGCAGCAAUGCCGCGUGUGUGAAGAAGGCCUGCGGGUUGUAAAGCACUUUCAGUAGGGAGGAACAAGUAACGGUUAAUACCCGUUACCCUGACGUUACCUACAGAAGAAGCACCGGCUAACUCUGUGCCAGCAGCCGCGGUAAUACAGAGGGUGCAAGCGUUAAUCGGAAUUACUGGGCGUAAAGCGCGCGUAGGCGGUUUGGUCAGUCGGACGUGAAAGCCCCGGGCUUAACCUGGGAAUUGCAUUCGAUACUGCCAGGCUGGAGUGUAGUAGAGGGAAGUGGAAUUCCGGGUGUAGCGGUGAAAUGCGUAGAUAUCCGGAGGAACAUCAGUGGCGAAGGCGACUUCCUGGACUAACACUGACGCUGAGGUGCGAAAGCGUGGGGAGCAAACAGGAUUAGAUACCCCGGUAGUC